GAUGAACGCUAGCUACAGGCUUAACACAUGCAAGUCGAGGGUCCGGCGCACGUGUGUGUAACACGUAUCCAACCUGCCCUUUACUCGGUGAUAGUCUUUCGAAAGAAAGAUUAAUACCCGAUGUAAAGGAUGGGGAUGCGUUCGAUUAGGUUGUUGGUAAGGUAACGGCUCACCAAGCCUUCGAUGGAUAGGGGUUCGGAGAGGAAGGCACCCCAGAUUGGAACUGGGGCCCGGACCAAAAUGGUACGGGAGGGAGGAGUAGGGAAUAUUGGUCGAUGGGCGUUGGCCUGAACCAGCCAAGUAGCGGUAAGGAGGAAGGGGUAUGAGUCGUAAACUUCUUUUGUAUAAGAAUAUGUAUUAUAUGAAUAAGGAUCGGCUAACUCCGUGCCAGCAGCCGCGGUAAUAC
rnacentral:rRNA from 1 species